AUGGGGAGCGCGAGCGUGAAGAAACCGGCCGCCAUCUUACUGUACCCACAACAGUCGCCGCAGCGAUCAUGGCAACUUCUUGCAAUUACGGUCGUACCAACCGUACUGGCAAGGUUACAGGGCCUAAAUUUAUACAGGUUUCGUCAUGAGGGCUACCCAGUGAAUAAUCUGUGCAGUGUGAUACGGCUGAGUGUACAGGUUACUUCACAGCUGCCUCGACAUACUCAAGAAAUGGGUGCAGAACCUGCGUAAUGCCCACAAACCUUGACUACCACAGCACCUCCAGAAAGUAAAGGCAUAUGUGUCACAUGGGAUUUUUAAAGGCAUUCACAGUAUAUAAUACCUUGUAUGAACUGUUGUAGAUCUAAGCAGCCUCUACAGUACACUCUCAGAAAUUAAAACUUGUCAUGGAACUGUGAUAAUUGUUUCAGUUAAUAGGCAUGCACAUAUACGCUAUAAGAAGAAAAUUAUUUAUUGAGAAUGCACUUCUCUGGCUACUCAUGUUGUUUACAUCUACUGUUGAUCACAUUCAUUUAUCACAUACAGUGAAACCUUCCUAUGUUGGACACCACGGUGCAGCAGAAGCGUGUCCUACUUAUAGAGGUGUCCGAGUUACAGAAUAUGAGGGAAACAAAAAAUGGAAAAGAUCACAGCUGUGUUGCCGGAAAUGUCCCCCUUCUUCAAUUUAUGGUCCUGAGUGGUACCUGGUGGCAGUGGUACCUACUACCCACUCUUCACUGAUAAUUAUUACUGAUUUUAGUAGAUUCAAUUCUGUUCAGAUUCCACUCAAUGGCAUUACCUCUGGAGCUUUUUGAGCAGCGAUGACUUGUCUCUGAAGCGUCAGCCCACUUUUCGUUGCUUUGGUGCAGUGUGCGUUCAAAGGCUCUAGACAAACCGAAGACAAAUGCUCACACAAAAAAUUACGAUGUACACUGACAGCACUUGUUUUUGGACUCGGAAAAACUAAAGCAACAAAGGGUUUUGUCCGACUUAGCAGGGAAAACCCUGUCCAACUUACGAGAUAGGGAGGUGUCCGAUAUAGAGAAUUUCGUCCCCGUGUAGUUUCAAUGGGAGCAAUGAAAUCUUG